CGCGGCCUAUCAGCUUGUUGGUGGGGUAAUGGCUCACCAAGGCGACGACGGGUAGCCGGCCUGAGAGGGUGACCGGCCACACUGGGACUGAGACACGGCCCAGACUCCUACGGGAGGCAGCAGUGGGGAAUAUUGCACAAUGGGCGGAAGCCUGAUGCAGCGACGCCGCGUGAGGGAUGACGGCCUUCGGGUUGUAAACCUCUUUCAGCAGGGAAGAAGCCACAAGUGACGGUACCUGCAGAAGAAGCGCCGGCUAACUACGUGCCAGCAGCCGCGGUAAUACGUAGGGCGCAAGCGUUGUCCGGAAUUAUUGGGCGUAAAGAGCUCGUAGGCGAUUUGUCGCGUCUGCUGUGAAAGCCCGGGGCUCAACCCCGGGUCUGCAGUGGGUACGGGCAGACUAGAGUGCAGUAGGGGAGACUGGAAUUCCUGGUGUAGCGGUGAAAUGCGCAGAUAUCAGGAGGAACACCGAUGGCGAAGGCAGGUCUCUGGGCUGUUACUGACGCUGAGGAGCGAAAGCAUGGGGAGCGAACAGGAUUAGAUACCCUGGUAGUCCAUGCCGUAAACGUUGGGCACUAGGUGUGGGGGACAUUCCACGUUUUCCGCGCCGUAGCUAACGCAUUAAGUGCCCCGCCUGGGGAGUACGG
rnacentral:rRNA from 1 species